UAAGUUUAAGUCUAGAAAUAAAUCCAUAUUCCUAGUUCGCUUAAACUAAUGCUCUGAUACCAACUGUGACAUCCCCAUUUUCACGGCCAGAAAAGACCGAUGUUGUUUAUGCUUUAUAAAAAUCAGAGUACUUCAUUUUAUAAAAAUGUUGCGGAAUUUGUUCCCAGAAAAACAUGGUAAAUACGUUAUUAAAACAUUUUCGAAGAAACGUAUUUAUUUCAUUUUAAAACGUUUGGGAUGUCAUCGUUAAUACAGAAACAUAAGCAUAAACAGAACUUACAAUUAUUUACACUAGUGAUCUACAUCUCUUUAAAUCUCUCAGUGUAAUGUCACUUCAUAUCAACACCUGUGAUAUAAAUAAACUGAGUGGGUCAGGUUGGGAAACCUGGUGAGUACAUAGGGUUUUCAACCCACAAUAAUAUAAUUAUUUUGUUUAAACAAUUAAACAAUCAACCCAAUUACCCAUCCCCAUUAUCUUCUUUAUUCUUAAGGAUCUACCCUAAGAAUCAGCUAUUCCUCGUUCAUUUAUUCCUAAGGAGUAUCCUAAGGAAUAGGUACAAAUUCCAUUGUUGUAAAUGACACAUCUGUCAAGCACAAUCUGCUAGUUCUGUCACUAGGGCGCAACUACCAAAAUUGUGACAUUCUCUAUGGGGCGCAUCUGCCGAAAUAGUCCUUUAGGCGCAUCUGCCGGGGUUAUGAGGUUCUCUAUUAGGCGCUUAUGCCGGUAUAGUCCUUUAGGCGCAUCUGCCGGGUUUUAUUGACAGUAUCGUUUUCGAGAGUCUACUCGCAAUACUUAUCAAUGGAUUUUUAGAAUACAGCGGUGAACACGUCGUUCACAACACCUACAGGUUGCGAGCCUACUAGUGUUCCACUGGACUGUCUAGAAUAGUCCGUGGUUGUCAUCCAUACUCUGCUGAAUGAAGGGGCCAUCAUCUGGGAAAAAGGCAUCUCACAUCGUCCACCUCUCACCCUCGCCUCACGGUCUAUUUCACCUCUCAACUCAUCAUCCAACUCAUAUUUCAUCUAUUACAUCUACCCAUGUCUUAUCCCAACAUUUUCGUAGAUAUAAAAUACAUAUACAGUUUAAAUCAUUUAAAACGUGUAUAAAAUCGUUCAUUUAUUCCUAAGGAGUAUCCUAAGGAAUAGGUACAAAUUCCAUUGUUGUAAAUGACACAUCUGUCAAGCACAAUCUGCUAGUUCUGUCACUAGGGCGCAACUACCAAAAUUGUGACAUUCUCUAUGGGGCGCAUCUGCCGAAAUAGUCCUUUAGGCGCAUUUGCUGGGGUUAUGAGGUUCUCUAUUAGGCGCUUAUGCCGGUAUAGUCCUUUAGGUGCAUCUGCUGGGUUUUAUUGACAGUAUCGUUUUCGAGAGUCCACUCGCAAUACUUAUCAAUGGGUUUUUAGAAUACACCGGUGAACACGUCGUUCACAACACCUACAAGUUGCGAGCCUGCUAGUGUUCCACCGGACUGUCUAGAAUAGUCUGUGGUUGUCAUCCAUACUCUGCUGAAUGAAGGGGCCAUCAUUUAGGAAAAAGGCUUCUCACAUCGUCCACCUCUCACCCUCGCCUCACGGUCUAUUUCACCUCUCAACUCAUCAUCCAACUCAUAUUUCAUCUAUUACAUCUACCCAUGUCUUAUCCCAACAUUUUCGUAGAUAUAAAAUACAUAUACAGUUUAAAUCAUUUAAAACGUGUAUAAAAUCGUUCACCCAGCAUAGAUAGCAAGUAUUCAGAUAAUAUGUACACAUAGUACGUAAUUUAUAUAAAAUACUUUAUAUCUAUGUGUAAGCUGAAAGUAACUAUGCACUCACCUGAAAGGUGGUGACUCAGUACUCGGACAGCGCUCCGAUACUCUCAAAACAAUUUCCUUCGAUAAAACCUAGUAUCAAUACCACUAGGGUUUAGUAUAAUGAUAACCGCGACAAAUUAAUAGCCUGACUAUUAUUACUAUUAUAUAAGCGUUAAAUAACACUCAAUAUAACUCAUAAUAAUAGCCCAAAUAAUUAAUUUCAGGACCUAAUAACAUUACUAUAAUUAUUUGAAAACUAUAUUAAAAGUUGUGUAAACGUAGCUCACUUACAAUGGAUUUUAAAGAAAACCAGGCUUUCCUCGGAGCAGCGUUUCGAAACCGAAAAAAACCUUUUUCUUGGGACUCCGGGAGCCUUGGGGCUUCCUUCGGGUGCUAGGGGGUUUUCCUAGGGUUUAGGAGGGUUUAGGGGAGUUAGAGAGAGAAAGAAACUAGAGAGAGAACGAUUUUUGUGUGAAAAAAUGAAGCUGCCUCAGCCCCCUUUUAUAGCCUGCGAGGCCUCGGUACGCUGGGCGUACCUCGGACCUACGCUGGGCGUAACACUUCGUUCGUACAACACGUGUUGCGAAAGGGCUGGGUCAUCGUGGCGUAAUGUGGACCGAGGGAGAAACAAGACUGCUGCGCGUUCUGAGCCUCGUACGUGAGGCGCACUCGUACGCUGGGCGUUUGAUGCGAACGUUGGGAGUAUGCGAGGACUACGUAUCAUCCAUCCGAAGCGAGGCGUGAUCAGCAAGCGACGGUCCAGAUGCUGCCACGUCAUCAACUUCACACCAGAUUCAUGAUUUUAUACUCUGACUUCUAAAAAUCAUAACUCUUGCAUACGAGCUCCCUUUUUGACGUUCUUUAUAUCCACAUGAAGGUGGGAACAUACUCUACAACUUUCGUUUAGUUUCCGUCGGCUAAUUUUGACUCUAUUUUAAAAGUUACAUUAUUAACAGGCCGGGAUAGGAUUGGUCCGUUAAAUUCUCAUAACUUCUUCAUCCAACGUCCGUUUUCGCCCAUCUUUUUCUCGUUACGCUACUCUUAACAAGAUCUUUGAUUCUCGUUUAGGUCGUGUCGGCCAAAACCGUUCGAUCUAUUAUUCGAAUAUCGGGUUGUACACUGCCAAUCCGAAACUUCGAAAAAUCAUAACUUCCUCAUACGAAGUAAGAUUUGGGCGUUCUUUUUAUGGACGCUCUUAGUUUAACAUAUUCUUCGACUUUCGUUUAGAUUGCUAAGGCUAAAUCUGGCUCUAUCAUAAAUUCACUAUUUACGCUUCCCGGUGCCGUGCCGAUUCCGUCGCGAAACAUCGACGGGUUAUAACUUCUUCGUUAUAACUCGGAUUUCGGCGUUCUUUAUAUGUACAGAAACCUUGUGACAUAUUCUAAAACUUGGUUAAGAUUAUUUAUUCUAAAUAAUCUUUUUUCGAAAAGUCGUUUUCGACCCCUAUUGCCUCUAAAUUAACUAGCCUGGAUCUGCGGGCGUUACAAUUAUCUCCCCCUUAGGAUGAUUACGUCCCGGAAUCAUCAACGAAACAGGGUUCGUAUAAUGACUCAAUACGUCAUCUCUUCAUCCUAGGUAAUAAUUAUAACUUCUAUAUUCCUUCAAGUCUAUCUCUUAGACUUAUUGACUGUAAGCAGUACUCGAUCUUGCACCUGCUCUCUACCUCAGGUUAGACUCCAAAUUAUGACCUAUCAUCAUGUGAUGCACGUUUAGACUCAGGUCUCUUAGUGUCAAAUUCUAAAAUAGACUAUGCCUUCCUUCAUGUUCUAAUUUGAUAUAAUCACACUACCAACUUCUUUAAAAACGAGCGCGAUACUUCUAUUGAUCGCUUUGAUUUCAAUCGUUUGGUUUAAGUCGGACGCUACAUCAAACUUGGUUCUCUAAACCACGUAACCUACUCAUUGUAGUCGGACUUAAUGUGAUAUGACCACUAGGGUCGGGAUAACAACAAUUUUUCUUAGUUAUUAGCGGAACGAUGGUAACAACACACUUGAAUAAAACGAAAUCAAUUACUAGCUUCUUGGUAACCUUGUGACUUUCCCUGAUCCAAGGGUGAGUCCUGUGCUUCCGGUAGUAUAGGCCUCUACUACCUUUUACACCUACUCAUACUCGUCCCAAGUAUUGUCCUGCAGUUUUCCAAGUCACCAUACAAGAAAAUCACAUAACAGCUUAACACAUCAAAUAUCAAAANUUUAUUAUUUCUCGAAACUAUUACAUAGGUGUUCAAGUUCACCCUAGACUAUGCCUCUAAUAGGCUACAUCAUAUGAUACUAUGGCUACUGCAUAACUUGAUCUUCGGAUAUGAAGUCCUCAUCCUUGAUUCCUCGCGUUGUUUUCUGCUUCGUCGAGGAUCAUGUGAAAUGCUCUCGCCUUUGGCUUUGGCGGCACAUUUGGUUUUGUAGCCCCCUCUCUCUUUGGGCAGUCUUGCUUGAAGUGACCUUCGUCGUUACAUCCGUAACACACCCUUUUGUUGAAUGUACACUCGUUGGCAUAAUGCCCAUGCUUCCCACACUUGAAACAAGUCACCUCCUCACCGCAUUUUCCAGUGUGUUUCUUUUUGCACUUUUCGCACCAUCUUUCUUCACCUCCUCCUCCUAUUUCGAACUUCUUCGAGAAUUUUCUCUUCUCGUUGGACUUUGAAGAUCCUUCAAAUUUCCUUUUCUCUCCCACCUCCGCUCUCUCCAGACCCUUCUCACGUAUCCAGGUCUCCACAUUUUUAGCAACCCAGAUGGCGACUUUCAGAGUGGUAUUUUGCUUGACCAUUGGACCAAAGUCCGCUGGUAAUCCGAGGGAAAACUUGUUAACCUUGGAGAGUUCUGUCGGGACAAGGUGAGGAACAAACUUCAUUUUCUCAGUAAAGCUUGCAACAUAUUCAGUAACGCUCAUUCUUCCCUUCUUCAGAUUAUGAAAUUUGUUGUUGAUCUCCAGAAGAUCCUGCUCAGAGCAGUAUUGCAUCUUCAACUGCACCAGAAAAUCCUCCCAUGACAUCUUGCUUGCUUCACCUUUGUGCAUUGAAUCAGCCAGUAGCUUCCACCAACUUAGUACUCCAGAUUUCAAUAGAGGAACCGCGAGAGCGGUCUUCUGCCUGUUGCUACACCCGCAACUCUCAAACAUCGUCUCCAUCUCAGCGAUCCAGUUCAUGACUUCCACCGGCGUCGGGCUUCCAGAUAGACUCGGUGGUUUGGACGCCAUGAAAUCCUUCUAUUUGCAUACACGCCCAUCAUUUCCUCCAUCCUGGUGGCUUUGCCUAACUAUCAGUGGGUUGGCUUGACCAACAGUCCCACUGUAGUUUCCCUCCUCAGUCUGCCAUUCGUUCAACUCGGGCUGUUCGACCUAUAUGGUCUCUUCCUCUCGAUUUUGUUGGAGCAAACAUAUGGUUUCCUCCAUUUGACGAUCCAACAUCGCCUGGAUCAUCGCUUGCACUCUGGCCAUCGUUAUUGGCUCAGCAGCGGCCACCACNNNNNNNNNNNNNNNNNNNNNNNNNNNNNNNNNNNNNNNNNNNNNNNNNNNNNNNNNNNNNNNNNNNNNNNNNNNNNNNNNNNNNNNNNNNNNNNNNNNNNNNNNNNNNNNNNNNNNNNNNNNNNNNNNNNNNNNNNNNNNNNNNNNNNNNNNNNNNNNNNNNNNNNNNNNNNNNNNNUCCCAGAUCUCGAAUCAGCGAGCUUGGCCGCCGGCUGAGACUGCGCCGGUCGCCGAUCCCUCCCCUGAGACUCAGCGUCCUCCCUAGCCUAGGUCUCCAGCUCUAUUUCCCUCUUCCGGGCAUUUUCCUGAAGCUCAACAAAUGUCCGGUACGUCGAUUUCGCCACGAACUCUCGUAUAUCCCUACUCAAAAUGCUCAGAUAUCGGCUCAUACGUGCCUGCUCGGAGGACACGUGCUCUGGGUAGAACAUCGCCCGCUCAUGGAAAAUCCUCAUAAUCACUGUGACAGACUCAGUACCCUGCUUGAGGGUCAGAAACUCCUGGGCCAAACGCUCCCUCUCCACCUGGGGAACGUACUCAUCUCGGAACAUAGCAGUGUGUGACAUCCCCAUUUUCACGGCCAGAAAAGACCGAUUUUAUUUAUGCUUUAUAAAAAUCAGAGUACUUCUUUUCAUAAAAAUGUUGUGGAAUUUGUUCCCAGAAAAAUACGAUAAAUACGUUAUCAAAACAUUUUUGAAGAAACGUUUUUAUUCAUUGUAAAACGUUUGGGAUGUCAUUGUCAAUA
rnacentral:lncRNA from 1 species